rnacentral:rRNA from 1 species
UACGUAGGGUGCAAGCGUUGUCCGGAAUUAUUGGGCGUAAAGAGCUCGUAGGCGGUUUGUCGCGUCUGCUGUGAAAACCCGAGGCUCAACCUCGGGCCUGCAGUGGGUACGGGCAGACUAGAGUGGCGGUAGGGGAGAUUGGAAUUCCUGGUGUAGCGGUGAAAUGCGCAGAUAUCAGGAGGAACACCGGUGGCGAAGGCGGGUCUCUGGGCCGUAACUGACGCUGAGGAGCGAAAGCAUGGGGAGCGAACAGG